AACUUAAAGGAAUUGACGGGGGCCCGCACAAGCGGAGGAGCAUGUGGUUUAAUUCGAUGAUACGCGAGGAACCCUUACCUGGGCUCGAACGUAAGAUGACUGUAGGUGAAAGCUUACAUCUCUUCGGAGCAUUUUUACGAGGUGCUGCAUGGUUGUCGUCAGCUCGUGCCGUGAGGUGUCGGGUUAAGUCCCAUAACGAGCGCAACCCUUGUCCUUAGUUACCAGCACGUUAUGGUGGGCACUCUAAGGAGACUGCCGGUGACAAACCGGAGGAAGGUGGGGAUGACGUCAAGUCAUCAUGGCCCUUACGGCCUGGGCUACACACGUGCUACAAUGGUCGGUACAAAGGGUUGCCAAGCCGCGAGGUGGAGCUAAUCCCAUAAAACCGAUCGUAGUCCGGAUCGCAGUCUGCAACUCGACUGCGUGAAGUCGGAAUCGCUAGUAAUCGUGAAUCAGAAUGUCACGGUGAAUACGUUCCCGGGCCUU
rnacentral:rRNA from 1 species